rnacentral:rRNA from 1 species
GACGAACGCUGGCGGUGUGCUUAACACAUGCAAGUCGAACGAGUGGCGAACGGGUGAGUAACGCCUCGGAACGUACCGAGUAAUGGGGGAUAACUGUCCGAAAGGACAGCUAAUACCGCAUAUUCUUCGAGCGGCCGCUGUCUGAUUAGCUGGUUGGCGGGGUAAAGGCCCACCAAGGCGACGAUCAGUAGCGGGUCUGAGAGGAUGAUCCGCCACACUGGGACUGAGACACGGCCCAGGCUCCUACGGGAGGCAGCAGUGGGGAAUUUUGGUCAAUGGGCGUAAGCCUGAACCAGCCAAGUAGCGUGCAGGACGACGGCCUAUGGGUUGUAAACUGCUUUUAUGCGGGGAUAGGUACCGCAUGAAUAAGGACCGGCUAAUUCCGUGCCAGCAGCCGCGGUAAUUC